rnacentral:rRNA from 1 species
UACGUAGGGGGCAAGCGUUGUCCGGAAUCAUUGGGCGUAAAGCGCGUGUAGGCGGCUAGAUAAGUCUGCUCUGAAAGCCCGGGGCUCAACCCCGGGAGGCGGGUGGAUACUGUCUAGCUCGAGUCCGGAAGAGGGGUGUGGAAUUCCUGGUGUAGCGGUGAAAUGCGCAGAUAUCAGGAGGAACACCGGUGGCGAAGGCGGGUCUCUGGGCAGUAACUGACGCUGAGGAGCGAAAGCGUGGGGAGCGAACAGG